rnacentral:rRNA from 1 species
GACGAACGCUGGCGGCGUGCCUAAUACAUGCAAGUAGGACGCAGUUGCGAACGGGUGAGUAACGCGUAGGUAACUACCUAUUAGAGGGGGAUAACUAUUGGAAACGAUAGCUAAUACCGCAUACUAGUAGAUGGACCUGCGUUGUAUUAGCUAGUAGGUAGGGUAAUGGCCUACCUAGGCAACGAUACAUAGCCGGGCUUGAAGGGGGAUCGGGCAAAAUGGGACUGGGAAACGGGCCAGACUCCUACGGGAGGGAGCAGUAGGGAAUCAUCGGAAAUGGGGGGAACGCUGACCGAGCAACGGCGCGGGAGUGAAGAAGGUUUUCGGAUCGUAAAGCUCUGUUGUUAAGGAAGCGGUACUUAACCAGAAAGGGACGGCUAACUACGUGCCAGCAGCCGCGGUAAUUC